rnacentral:rRNA from 1 species
CGGGUGAGUAACGCGUGGGUAACCUGCCUUAUACAGGGGGAUAACAGUCAGAAAUGGCUGCUAAUACCGCAUAAGCGCACAGAGCUGCAUGGCUCAGUGUGAAAAACUCCGGUGGUAUGAGAUGGACCCGCGUCUGAUUAGGUAGUUGGUGGGGUAACGGCCUACCAAGCCGACGAUCAGUAGCCGACCUGAGAGGGUGACCGGCCACAUUGGGACUGAGACACGGCCCAA